rnacentral:lncRNA from 1 species
GGCUGAGCACCCAGAGGUCAGGUGAGAAAGCCCAGCAGCUUGGAGACAGCAGACAUCACGGCGGCAGCCCUGGCCACGGGCGCCUGCGUCGUGGGCAUCCUGUGCCUCCCGCUCAUCCUGCUCAUGGUCUACAAGCAGAGGCAGGCAGCCUCCCACCGCCGUGAGUACUGCCCGCGGGGCGGGGCUGGGCGGGGAGUGGCCACUGGGCCCAGG